rnacentral:lncRNA from 1 species
CCAACCGCCGGGCUAUAAUCUAUGAAACUGAUCCCGGAUCCAGCCAAUCAGUUAGCUCCUCAUAACAAGUCUAACUGGCUCUGGACUACUGAAGGGCUGUGCUGGAGCCCAGCAGAGGCGAUAUUCCACACAAUACUUUGCUUAUCUAUACAGUCACUUUGCCUGGAAAGGCCAGAGGGGGAAAAAAAUGACAGCUUCUUUGUCUCGGGGAAGGAGGGCAGGUGAUCCGGCAGGAAUGAAUCUGAAGCUGGAGCAA